AUUGCUUCCUGACCUUUUGGCUAAGAACAAGUGUAGUAUCUGUUCUUAUCCGUUUAAAAAUAUAGUUAACUUAAAAGUUACAUUUAUCUUGUUCCCAAAUCCAGGCAGAGACAGGGUCAGAUGAGGGCCUUUACCGGUUAUCUGAAAGGGAUGCACACCUGAAGAUGGAACUAAG
rnacentral:snRNA from 1 species